GGCUCAGGAUGAACGCUAGCUACAGGCUUAACACAUGCAAGUCGAGGGGGAAACGAUAUUGGAAGCUUGCUUCUGAUAGGCGUCGACCGGCGCACGGGUGAGUAACGCGUAUCCAACCUGCCCAUCACUUGGGGAUAACCUUGCGAAAGUAAGACUAAUACCCAAUGACGUCUCUAGAAGACAUCUGAAAGAGAUUAAAGAUUUAUCGGUGACGGAUGGGGAUGCGUCUGAUUAGCUUGUUGGCGGGGUAACGGCCCACCAAGGCGACGAUCAGUAGGGGUUCUGAGAGGAAGGUCCCCCACAUUGGAACUGAGACACGGUCCAAACUCCUACGGGAGGCAGCAGUGAGGAAUAUUGGUCAAUGGGCGAGAGCCUGAACCAGCCAAGUAGCGUGAAGGAUGACUGCCCUAUGGGUUGUAAACUUCUUUUAUAAAGGAAUAAAGUCGGGUAUGCAUACCCGUUUGCAUGUACUUUAUGAAUAAGGAUCGGCUAACUCCGUG
rnacentral:rRNA from 1 species